CUUGGUACAGUGGAGAAACAGAAGGCCCAGAAUUUCUUGCCGUUUAUUACACUGUAAAGUGGGAGCAUACACAGAUGUGGAGUGAGGAAGAUAGCAAAGCCCUCUUAAACACAUGUUUGGAUCAUGGACAGACACAGGACUUCAUAAGAAGAGUUCACCAUGCAUGGCGUGGACACACUCCAAGCUGUUCACACUGGCUUGUUUCCAAAUGGGCACAAAUCCCCUCUGCAUACCCAAGUGAAUGAUCAUCUCCAGUGCAGUGGCUGAGCUACGCGAUUCUCCCAUAACUGUCAUGUUGAUGGUAAAACAACCUGAAGAAAUGAGAAAAAGCCUGGUUGGUUAUCAUUUCCUUCCAACUAUCCUUCACACUUCACUGCACCCAUGAGUAAAAUUUGUGUAAUGAAUGCACUGGGUCUGAGCAAUAUUGAUGCCACUGUGUACAAGAAAUAAUCAAGAAGUUAACAAAGCAACGAUGGCGUCUUUGGUAAGUACAGUGCUUAACUUCAGAAAUAAAAGUUGAAAUACCAUGACAUCAAACGUUCCCAGCAAAAGCACUCAGAAAAAUGAGAGCAUAAAGUUUCAAGGAAUGGAAGAAGACUGUUUUCCCUCUUAUGAGACACAGUCUGUUAAGAAAGGGAGAUUGUGAGUGCCUUCGUUUCAACUUCUUGGCCCCUCCCUUGGGGCUUGGGAUCUCCCAGGUCAAAUGGUCAGCCUGCAGGUAGGCCAGCUCUGUUCUGCGACCCUGGCUUCAAUUCAAGGAGCAAAGAAGUUGUCACUUCUUUUUGUUUCAAUCUCAGUCCCAAGCUUUGUUCUCCACACUACUUUGCCAUCAAAACAGCUGUUAUCCUAUUUCCAAUUUGACUCCGUUGUUUGUAUUUAUACUUCAGCAGUCAGAGAUCUAAAGGGGAGAAGAGAAUGAGGUAGGUAAAUGGUAGGAUGUGGGAUCCAAAGAUAGCCUAUCUUCAACAUCCUGCAAUAUUAAAACUGGAAGAAGUGAAGCCUCCUUAUGUGAUGAGAAAAAUGCAGAUCAGCUGGGCGCAGCAAAGCACGCUCGGUCACACAGCAUGCCAGGGCCAGAGACACAAGUAGACGUCCGCACGACAGCACAGAGAGGGCAUUGCCACAGACACACUUCAGCCUAAUGAGAGGAGUCCAGGAUGAUGAACUCUUCAAUCUGGAUGAUGUACUUCUAUGGGCAACAUGUAAGAACAGAUCAGCUUUUGUGGUUGUUGAUUAACAUCGAGCUUAAUGCCGAACACAUUUAACUUGUCUAUGUCAUGCCUUCAAAGUCCUCAGAGACAUACACCAUCAACCUGAACAUUGAUUCUUAAUGUGAUGAAUUCUUUCCAUGAUAUAAUAAUAAUAAUAAUAGAACAGUAGUAAAGACUGAUACUUAUUCUUUGCUUUGUGCUAGACAUUUUACACAUCAUGCUUUAUAUGUAUUAACUCAUUUUAAUCUUCACAAAAGUGUUUUGAGUUACCUACUAUUAUUUUCUCUAAUUUACAGAUGAGGAAAUUGAAGGCAAGUAAGGUAAAUCAUGUGUUCAAGGUCACACAACCAGUAGGGAGUAAUGUCAAGCUUAACCAAGGGAAUUAGGCCAGGCACGGUGGCUCA
rnacentral:lncRNA from 10 species